rnacentral:rRNA from 1 species
GGAAUAGCCCGGAGAAAUCCGGAUUAAUGCCCCAUAGUAUUUUCGAAUUGCAUGAUUUGAAAAUUAAAGGUUACGGUAAGAGAUGGGCAUGCGUCCCAUUAGCUAGAUGGUAAGGUAACGGCUUACCAUGGCAACGAUGGGUAGGGGGCCUGAGAGGGUGAUCCCCCACACUGGUACUGAGACACGGACCAGACUCCUACGGGAGGCAGCAGUGAGGAAUAUUGGACAAUGGACGAAAGUCUGAUCCAGCCAUGCCGCGUGCAGGAAGACUGCCCUAUGGGUUGUAAACUGCUUUUAUUUGGGAAUAAACCCCUCUACGUGUAGAGGGCUGAAGGUACCAAACGAAUAAGCACCGGCUAACUCCGUGCCAGCAGCCGCGGUAAUACGGAGGGUGCAAGCGUUAUCCGGAAUCAUUGGGUUUAAAGGGUCCGCAGGCGGACAUAUAAGUCAGUGGUGAAAGCCUACAGCUUAACUGUAGAACUGCCAUUGAUACUGUAUGUCUUGAAUUCGGUCGAAGUGGGCGGAAUGUGUCAUGUAGCGGUGAAAUGCAUAGAUAUGACACAGAACACCGAUA